UACGUAGGGGGCUAGCGUUGCUCGGAAUCACUGGGCGUAAAGGGCGCGUAGGCGGAUCUUUAAGUCGGGGGUGAAAGCCCAGGGCUCAACCCUGGAAUGGCCUUCGAUACUGGAGAUCUUGAGACCGGAAGAGGUAAGUGGAACUGCGAGUGUAGAGGUGAAAUUCGUAGAUAUUCGCAAGAACACCAGUGGCGAAGGCGGCUUACUGGUCCGGUUCUGACGCUGAGGCGCGAAAGCGUGGGGAGCAAACAGG
rnacentral:rRNA from 1 species